ACGCUGGCGGCGUGCCUAACACAUGCAAGUCGUACGAGAAAGUUGGCUUCGGCCGAUGAGUAAAGUGGCGCACGGGUGAGUAAUGCGUGGAUAAUCUGCCCUUUAGUUGGGAAUAACGUACCGAAAGGUGCGCUAAUACCUGAUAAUACUGCAUAACUACUGUUGUGUAGUCAAAGAAGGCCUCUGUUUACAAGCUUUUGCUGAAGGAUGAGUCCGCGUACCAUUAGCUGGUUGGUGGGGUAAUGGCCUACCAAGGCUACGAUGGUUAGCUGGUCUGAGAGGAUGAUCAGCCACACUGGAACUGAGACACGGUCCAGACUCCUACGGGAGGCAGCAGUAGGGAAUAUUGGACAAUGGGCGCAAGCCUGAUCCAGCCAUGCCGCGUGAGUGAAGAAGGCCCUCGGGUUGUAAAGCUCUUUUGUCCGGAACGAAACGGUGAGCUCUAAUAAAGCUUGCUAAUGACGGUACCGUAAGAAUAAGCACCGGCUAACUACGUG
rnacentral:rRNA from 1 species